AUUGAACGCUGGCGGCAGGCCUAACACAUGCAAGUCGCACGAGUGGCGGACGGGUGAGUAAUGUCUGGGAAACUGCCCUAUGGAGUGGGAUAACUACUGGAAACGGUAGCUAAUACCGCAUACCAUCGGAUGUGCCCAGAUGGGAUUAGCUAGUCGGUGGGGUAACGGCUCACCUAGGCCACGAUCCCUAGCUGGUCUGAGAGGAUGACCAGCCAAACUGGAACGGAGACACGGUCCAGACUCCUACGGGAGGCAGCAGUGGGGAAUAUUGCACAAUGGGCGCAAGCCUGAUGCAGCCAUGCCGCGUGUAUGAAGAAGGCCGUCGGGUUGUAAAGUACUUUCAGCGAGGAGGCGUUACCCGCAGAAGAAGCACCGGCUAACUCCGUGCCAGCCGCCGCGGUAAUUC
rnacentral:rRNA from 1 species